GAUGAACGCUGGCGGCGUGCCUAAUACAUGCAAGUCGAGCGAACAGACGAGGAGCUUGCUCCUUUGAUGUUAGCGGCGGACGGGUGAGUAACACGUAGGUAACCUACCUAUAAGACUGGGAUAACUUCGGGAAACCGGAGCUAAUACCGGAUAAUAUUUCGAACCGCAUGGUUCGAUAGUGAAAGAUGGCUUUGCUAUCACUUAUAGAUGGACCUGCGCCGUAUUAGCUAGUUGGUAAGGUAACGGCUUACCAAGGCAACGAUACGUAGCCGACCUGAGAGGGUGAUCGGCCACACUGGAACUGAGACACGGUCCAGACUCCUACGGGAGGCAGCAGUAGGGAAUCUUCCGUAAUGGGCGAAAGCCUGACGGAGCAACGCCGCGUGAGUGAUGAAGGUCUUCGGAUCGUAAAACUCUGUUAUUAGGGAAGAACAAACGUGUAAGUAACUGUGCACGUCUUGACGGUACCUAAUCAGAAAGCCACGGCUAACUACGUG
rnacentral:rRNA from 1 species